rnacentral:rRNA from 1 species
GUUUGAUCCUGGCUCAGAAUCAACGCUGGCGGCGCGCUUAACACAUGCAAGUCGCACGAGAAAGGGAGCAAUCCUGAGUAAAGUGGCGUACGGGUGAGUAACACGUGGAUUAUCUACCUUUUAGUGGGGAAUAACCCUGGGAAACCGGGGCUAAUACCGCAUAAGUUCGUGAGAAGAAAGCAGCAAUGCGCUGAAAGAGGAGUCCGCGGCUGAUUAGCUAGUUGGCGGGGUAACGGCCCACCAAGGCGAAGAUCGGUAGCCGGCCUGAGAGGGCACACGGCCACACUGGCACUGAAACACGGGCCAGACUCCUACGGGAGGCAGCAGUGGGGAAUCUUGCACAAUGGAGGAAACUCUGAUGCAGCGACGCCGCGUGAGCGAUGAAGCCCUUCGGGGUGUAAA